GAGUCUUUAGUGCACCGUGAACAGCAGUCACCUCAGAGCAAGAGAGUCCUCGUGGCUGUCUGGGUUCUCUCCAGGAGCUCUGGCUUCAUCCCACAGUCCAGAGAAAUGAUAUAAGUGAUAAGAUAAUAUAACCAAAAAAAAAAAAAACAGUUUAGAACAAGUGUGAGCCUCCUUUACAACUUUAUUCACAUCCUUUAAAUGUAAGAGCUGCUGGCACGUCUGGUGAGGGUGUGCCCACACCUAAUCUAAACCACAGAGCUUUAGUCCCUCUCAUACUUGGUUGAGUAUUGACAUCAGCUGCACCGGUGCAUGCAACGUGAGGGCACUAAUGGACAGGGAGGAAAUAAUACUUGAAUUCAUUUUGAACAAAGACGUCAUGCCAAAUAUUUUUUGAUAGCUGUUUCAAUUAUGAAUACACAGACUUUGUGAUUGCUUUUUUCCUGUCAACAUGUAUUGUUCACAAAUAACCACGGGCCACAACUGAAUCAGAUAGUUCCAUCAUUUCUCUUCAUCUGCAUUUUCGAUCUGAAAGUAGAAACAACUAUAACGAGGAAAAAUUGAAUUUUUAUAUUUAUGAACGAGGACUGUGUGGAGGAGAGCCGAGUCAGGAAACAGGUUGUUCACCUGACCGACAAGCUGGAGUCAGAACCUGUGAUUUAUCCUCCCUGACUAUUGAGUGAUGUUAUAUGCUGAUGUUAUUUUCCUGUUUUGAGCCAAACCAGAUUUCUCUAUAGGAACUCUGUGUUAAAGGGUCAAUGCACCAAAUUGGGUUUUGAUUUCUCAUGCAAGGAAAGACACAAACUGCUCAGAGGGAUUAGUAAUGAGCACAAGUUAAAUGAGCUCAUUGCACUACGUUGGCUUUAUCAGCCCUGCACAGAACAGAUCGGUCUUAGACUCUUUGAUUCUCUUAAAUAAGUAGAAUCUGAAACUGAAGGUUUUAGAUUAAAUCUGAUUCCUAAAUCAAGAAGUAAAUCUUAAAGAACAACCUAGGUUUGUAAUUUGGAACAAAGUUGCGUUAACUAAAACUAUCUUGAACUGUGGAAGGUUAAGUGUGACCUUCUUAGCUGCAAACCUUGAACUGGUUUAGUAGCUUUUAUAUCUGUCUUACUGUGACAUAAGUGCUGCAAAAGGGAUUUAUCUCUCUCCCUCUGUCUAUCUCUCAGUCCGUCUCUCUAAAAUAUUCAUUUUACUUUAUUUUCUCUAUAUAUGAUGUAGGUUUGAAUUUUCCCUGCUAAAUUGUGACGGUCUGGGAGUCUCCUACGUUCGACCUGCCUCGUGCCAAUUUAUGGGCGUCAUCAGGCCGGAAGGUGUUUCCCGUGUUGAAGCCGCCACACAUGUCUUCCGUCUAGAUUGGCCGCUACUUAACUGUUUGACUGAGCUUCGGUCAACGCUGGAUCAUUGAGUUACCAAGAACUUGGAGAGGAGUGUGUCACAGGAGCGAAGUGUUUGUAAAUGUCGAGUGUUGGAGUUGUUUUCCUGUCACACCUGGACCACCAGCACAGUCCUGCAGGAUGGGAAAGUCCUGCAUUUGGGCCCCGUUCUCGCCACGCACCUUAACAUAAAUAAUAAACACUUUGAUUGAGAAACUGCAUUUUGUGUUUACUUUUGUAGGGUUGCCUACCGCUGCAGGAGGCUGCAUCAUGAAACCAACAUGAUGAACUGCCAGUGGGAGAAGCACUACCCUAUAGACCUCUGUAAUCCAAGUAAAAGUAGCAGUACAGCUAUAUACAAGUUAAUACGAAGGCACAGAAUCAACAAGAGCUAUGAACUAAUCUUAGAGCCGGGGCUACACUGGUGCGAGUCAUACAAGGAUCCAGCGAUGAGUAGCUUCCUUUCCUCAACUUAAGUAGUGGCAGGGAUAAUGAGGCACAGGUGUUCACUCUCCAUAGGUGCGUGGGGCGAGGGCAGGAACCACCAUGACUUCCGUCCUGGCGAGACAGAGAGCGCGAGAGAGAAAAAUAAUGACGCUGCUGAUCAUCUUCAUGCUGGUCCACCGGGCCGUGACAUUCAGUAACAUGAAUAUGGAAGUGUAAAGAGUGUGCAGCACAAGAGACUGCAAGAUCUCAGUUAUUGAAGCACUACAGGUUAAACCAUGGUCACUUUGGCCGCAGACACGCUUAUCCAUGCACAUAUUUAAAUUGUCCAUGUAGUCACCAAUGUAGAUCACAUGUUGAUCAGACAUUGCAGAGAUCAGUAGAUUCCUGGUGUGAUUGAAGACAAGCUUUUCAUUGAUGAUUUAAAAAGAGGGUGAUGAGCUAUUAUUA